ACUCAAAUGAAUUGACGGGGGCCCGCACAAGCGGUGGAGCAUGUGGUUUAAUUCGAUGCAACGCGAAGAACCUUACCUACCUUUGAAUCCGCAGAACCUUCUGGAGACAGAGGGGUGCCUUCGGGAGCUGCGAGACAGGUGCUGCAUGGCUGUCGUCAGCUCGUGUCGUGAGAUGUUGGGUUAAGUCCCGUAACGAGCGCAACCCUUGUCCUUAGUUGCCAACAGGUAGAGCUGGGUACUUUAAGGAGACUGCCGGUGAUAAACCGGAGGAAGGUGGGGAUGAUGUCAAGUCAUCAUGGCCCUUACAGGUAGGGCUACACACGUGCUACAAUGGCCGGUACAAAGGGACGCGAACUCGCGAGAGGGAGCCAAUCUCCAAAAGCCGGUCGUAGUCCGGAUUGGAGUCUGCAACUCGACUCCAUGAAGCUGGAAUCGCUAGUAAUCGUGGAUCAGCACGCCACGGUGAAUACGUUCCCGGGCCUUGUACACACCGCCCGU
rnacentral:rRNA from 1 species